UGUAUUUCGAAGCACCCAUGGACUCGCAUGAAUUCUUACACUGAUGGAUAGACAUGCAGUCAUCAAAGUAGACCACUGUGCAAUGAGAUAUUGAACAAACGAUAUAAUAGACCAGAAGGAGUGAAUGCACUGAAUGGAUGAUGAAGACAUCAAUCUAGGCUCCAAUGUACACCUGAUAUUGUGUUUUCAGUUGCACAUGUGGACUUUCUUCGGGCAGUGACACAUUCUGGAGUGGAGACAUAUCGAAGCUUUCCAAAAACGAGACCAGGUUU